rnacentral:lncRNA from 1 species
UCAAACCGUACAAUAAGACAACCGUACAAUAGGUUGUCUUAUAAGUUGUCUAAUAAAACUAUAUAAUUUCUUAAUUUGUGCAUAUGAAAAAUAAAUAUUAUGAGUUGCAUGGCAACAAUAACUCGUACAAUGGUUGUUGAGUUGCCUCGUAGUUCUACAAUUUAACUUAUGAGGCGGUUGUUUCACGAAACAAUGACCUCUUUCUCUCUACUCGCUCUCUCUCC